GUGUUCAUAUGGCAGCACAUAUCCUAAAAAUUGGGAUGAUACAGAGACUAGCAUUGCCCUGUGCAAGGAUGACACGCAAAUUCAUGAAGCAUCCCAUAUGUUU